rnacentral:rRNA from 1 species
GAUGAACGCUGGCGGCGUGCCUAACACAUGCAAGUCGAACGGAGAUUACGGACGGAAGUUUUCGGAUGGAAGCCUGUAAUUCUUAGUGGCGGACGGGUGAGUAACGCGUGGGCAACCUGCCCUAUACAGGGGGAUAGCAGCUGGAAACGGCUGGUAAGACCGCAUAAGUCGGUUAAAUCGCAUGAUUUGAUCGGGAAAUGAGCAAUCAGGUAUAGGAUGGGCCCGCGUCCGAUUAGCCAGUUGGCAGGGUAAAAGCUUACCAAAGCGACGAUCGGUAGCCGGACUGAGAGGUCGGACGGCCACAUUGGGACUGAGACACGGCCCAAACUCCUACGGGAGGCAGCAGUGGGGGAUAUUGCACAAUGGAGGAAACUCUGAUGCAGCGACGCCGCGUGAGUGAAGAAGUAUUUCGGUAUGUAAAGCUCUAUCAGCAGGGAAGAUGAUGACGGUACCUGACGAAGAAGCCCCGGCUAACUACGUG